UGAAUCCCUAGAAUCCCCUUCUUUCUCCUCUUUCUUCUUCCCAGCCCGAUACUCUUUCUGUUCUUCUCUAGCAUUUCAGUCGGCCAGACCAGAUGAGCCAUCUCCGGCCACCACCCAAUGACACGCAACCCACCACGAGCUUCCUUGGCCCCCGAAACCGCCAACCCGGGAAGCUCGCCUCCCCACUCGCCGGCCUCCGUCGCGACUGGCUCCUCAAAGUUCCGUUGCCGCUGUGAGUUUGGAGGAUUUUUCUGGCCUCCACCGUGGACGAUGAAGGCUCCUGCUGGCGAACCCACUUUGCCGGUUCUCUACCCUUCGUCGCUAUCAGUUAAAACUGUUUUGAGGGAUCAGAAGCAGAAGACUUGAAUGGGUGGCCCUAAGCAAUGUCAAGUUUGCAAUGAAGCAGUUUCCAAGUACAAGUGUCCCUCUUGUCUUGUCCCUUAUUGUUCUCUUAUCUGCUUCAAGAAACACAAAGGAUCAAGGAGGAUGAUAAGAUGAUUCAAGCUGAGGGAGUGGAGUCCCUUUCAGAAAAAGAGCUUAUUUCAGCCUGUCAAGAACGAGGCAUACUUGGAACACUUUCAGUAGAGGAAAUGCGAGAAGAGGUUUGAGCUUAAUCUAGACUUCUUUAGUUUGUUCAUUGAUUGAAGAUAGACUGAAACAUGUCUAUUAAAUUUAUCACUUAUGGCUCAUGAAUACUAUAUUUUCAUGGUGAUUUCACCUCAUUUGUUACUGUCAGGGAUGUCAAUAAGCCAAUGUAAGCUUUGACUAGCUGCAACUUCUUCUAAACAGCCCAUAGUUAUAUCAUCAGCUUACGUUUGUUUGAUGUUUGAAGUAUACUAUAAAGAACAAUAUACAUCAUAUCUUAUUAUAUAAUGCUGAUAUGGAUCUAUUUUAGUUUUAUCUUUUUUGAAACUCUAACUUCAUGUAAAAGAUCAAUAGCUAAUAAAUUCUAAACAGGCUUUUUUGGAAGCUUUUAUGAUUUAUGUUUUACCAUUUUGCAUUUGGCUAUGUUUUGCCAUUCUACUUGUUAGAAAACUUGAUUUGAGAUAUGGUAGGGCACUUGUUGGACAUGUGAUUGAAAUAUGGAACAUUAGUUAUAUUUAUCAUCACUCUAGCUACAACAUAUAUAACAUAUAGAUUGUUGGUUGUGAUUCUUCUACAUGCACAUAAAUAUUAUAAAGAUUGUAGGUAUAAAUAUAUGUGUGUAUAUAUAUAUAUUAGAAUUCUGUCAAAAGUGUAAUCCAUCUUUGCAUUUUGAAAAUAGUAUAAACUAAGUUAUGAUGUAGUUUUCUAUGUAAUUUAGGUGGACAAUAGAUUUAUAUCAACUUUCAAUUGGAAAAACAAAAUGUAUAUAAACUUUUUACCAUUCAUACCUUAGUUAUAUUUUAUUUUCUCCUCUUUGCAUUAUUAUUUAAUUAUUUAAUUCUGAUUUGACUCAAUUUCAUUAUAUAUUAUAACAUUGUAAAUGUGUGUAUAUGCUGAGACAGACUUCAAAGAAACUUUUUUCGCAACAGUUUGCAAGAGGUAUGCCUCUAACUUUUAUUUUAAUACUAUGCAAAUGUUAGAGGAGUUUGAAUAUCUUAAAUAUUCAUCCAUAGUGAAAUAGGUUCUGUGAUUGUUACUGUGUGCUGCGGUGAUAACAGAAGAUUGAGAACUUGUGUGUUUUAGUGAAGUAGGAUCUGAGAAAUUUGUGUGCUGCGGAGAUAAGAAAGAAAACUUGUGUGUUGUUUGAAUUGAUAUUGACAGAUGGUUGGUUGCUAGUAUGGGGAAAAUGUUGUUCGAUUUUAUGUUGAUUUGUCUAUGAUUAUCCUAUAAUUGAAUUGUGUUUGAUUGGUUUGAUUAUAACAUAUACUUGUAUGAAUGUACUUAUUGCGUUUUGGCAUACACAUAUAGCAUAACUUUUUGUACUUCUUGUUUUAGACGAUGUUAGUUUUCUUCUUGCCCUUUGUCUAAUGUCUUUGGUGAGGUGAUUUAUAACAUUGAACAUCACUUUUUGUUCUUGUAAUCACAUUUAGGUUCAAUAGUAUAAAGCGCUAUACAAAAGUUUGACAUUAUUAGCAUAUUGGUUGAUAAUUCAUAGUUAUAUUGGACUCUAAGUUUCAUUCUUUUGGAAUUGCAUUUAUUGAUUUUAUCAGCUUCGGGGUAUAUUUUUGUUUUAGUGUCGGUGCUUAAUUUAUUUAGAUUUAUUAAUUUUAGUGUAUAUUAUGUAUUUAUAUUUUUUGUUGAAUACUUUGCUUCUAAUUUUGUUAUGUUUAUUCAGAUUCAGGGUAUUUAUAUAGAUUGUUCUGUUGGUGGCCUUUGUACCCUGUAUAAAAUUUUAUAUUUGGUAUUUUAUUGCAUAUUUGUGUUGUGUUUACCUUGUUAGUGCUGAAGACUUUGUUUAUUAUCUUGUUAUGUUAAUCAGCUUUAGGGUAUAUUUGUGUUUUGAUGUCGGUGCUUAUUUUUUUUUUAGAUUUGUUGAUUUUAGAAUAUAUUAUGUAUGUAUUUUUUGUUGGAUACUUUGCUUUUAGUUUUGUUAUGUUUAUUCAGAUUUAGAGUAUAUUUGUGUACUAUUGUAAUUAAGUUCUUUUUUGUGAUUUAUUUAUUUUGCAUAUAUAUCUAUAUAUAAAUAUGUUUUUGUUGGAAAUUUCUUUUAGGUAUUAUUAUGGUUAAUUAUAUUUAUGGUAUUUUUUUUUUUUUUGCCAAUGAUGUUAAAAUAAUGAGGAUGCUUAUUAUGUUGGUGAUUAUAAGACUUAUUGUGCUUUAUAUUUUUUAAAGGCAUACAAAGUGCAUAAAUGCUCAUAAUAAGUCAUUCUUUUUUCUUUCUGAAAUCCUUAUGAUGAUUAAAUUGUGGGUAUUCUAUUAUUAAAUUGGGAAUUUUGUUAUACUGUAAUUCACAACAUCAUUGGUCUCCCAACCGUCUCAAAUCUUGUCGGCAUUCUUACAAGGUCAGUUUUUGUUUAAUAAUCUCUAAGAGAGAUUAAUCAACUAAUUUUACAUAUUUAUAUUGUUGGUUCUCUCAUUCAUUCGUUAAUAUAUUAUGGUAAAAUAUACUAUUUAAUUAUAAUUUGAAGUAUUUAAUUCAUUGGUGCAGGGAAUAUCAUAGGACUAACUUUUAAGGUGGAUGCCUAGAUUUAUUAGGAAGAAUAUUGAGAAAAGAAACAUGAUUGAGUUUGCAGUGAUUUGGAGAAAGAAUUAUGUUGUCUUGUUGAGAUUUGUUGUAUUAUAUAUUUUUAAGUUUAUGGAUUUAUAAUAUUAUAAUGAAUUUUUAUUGAUAAUUAUUUAAUCUCAUGGGGAUUUGAUGUAUUAUUUACAUUUCAAUUGUAUGAAUAAAUAUUGUAUGUAUAUGAAUUUUUAUUCUGAUAAAUAUAAUUUUUUUUACAAGUUA